CUGCAGCUCGAGUGGUGAUCGUUAUUAUUGGGCCUAAAACGUCCGUAGCCUGUUUGGUAAAUGCUUGGGUAAAUCGUGUGGCUUAACCAUACGAAUACCGGGUAGACUGCCAGACUUGAGACCGGGAGAGGUUGGAGGUACUCCUGGGGUAGAGGUGAAAUUCUGUAAUCCUGGGGGGACCACCAGUGGCGAAGGCGUCCAACCAGAACGGGUCUGACGGUGAGGGACGAAGCCCUGGGGCGCAAACCGGAUUAGAUACCCGAGUAGUCC
rnacentral:rRNA from 1 species